AACGCACAUUGCGCCUCCGGGUACUCCUGGAGGCAUGCCUGUUCGAGCGUCGUUUAGACCAUGAGGCGUUGCCUUGCGAUGACAUUUGGAUCCUUCGGGGUCCAUCUGUUCAAACGUAUUGGCAUCUGAAGUUUGGCCCAGCACAGCAAAAUGUGUGACGAUCAGACGGAAGGAUGCCCGUAUUCAAGGAUGCAACUUCGGUUGCGUUUCUUUAUUUGGUCGACCUCGGAUCAGGCAAGAUUACCCGCUGAACUUAA
rnacentral:misc_RNA from 1 species